GGUAGCUUAGUCUAGAGGCUAGGCAAAGGUCUGCAAAACCUUUUUACGUGGGUUCGAAUCCCUCAGCUACCU
rnacentral:tRNA from 1 species